rnacentral:rRNA from 1 species
GAUGAACGCUGGCGGCGUGCCUAAUACAUGCAAGUCGAGCGAACGGACGGGAAGCUUGCUUCUCUGAUGUUAGCGGCGGACGGGUGAGUAACACGUGGAUAACCUACCUAUAAGACUGGGAUAACUUCGGGAAACCGGAGCUAAUACCGGAUAAUAUUUUGAACCGCAUGGUUCAAAAGUGAAAGACGGUCUUGCUGUCACUUAUAGAUGGAUCCGCGCUGCAUUAGCUAGUUGGUAAGGUAACGGCUUACCAAGGCAACGAUGCAUAGCCGACCUGAGAGGGUGAUCGGCCACACUGUAACUGAGACACGGUCCAGACUCCUACGGGAGGCAGCAGUAGGGAAUCUUCCGCAAUGGGCGAAAGCCUGACGGAGCAACGCCGCGUGAGUGAUGAAGGUCUUCGGAUCGUAAAACUCUGUUAUUAGGGAAGAACAUAUGUGUAAGUAACUGUGCACAUCUUGACGGUACCUAAUCAGAAAGCCACGGCUAACUACGUG